rnacentral:rRNA from 1 species
CCUACGGGAGGCAGCAGUAGGGAAUCUUCGGCAAUGGACGGAAGUCUGACCGAGCAACGCCGCGUGAGUGAAGAAGGUUUUCGGAUCGUAAAGCUCUGUUGUAAGAGAAGAACGAGUGUGAGAGUGGAAAGUUCACACUGUGACGGUAUCUUACCAGAAAGGGACGGCUAACUACGUGCCAGCAGCCGCGGUAAUACGUAGGUCCCGAGCGUUGUCCGGAUUUAUUGGGCGUAAAGCGAGCGCAGGCGGUUAGAUAAGUCUGAAGUUAAAGGCUGUGGCUUAACCAUAGUACGCUUUGGAAACUGUUUAACUUGAGUGCAAGAGGGGAGAGUGGAAUUCCAUGUGUAGCGGUGAAAUGCGUAGAUAUAUGGAGGAACACCGGUGGCGAAAGCGGCUCUCUGGCUUGUAACUGACGCUGAGGCUCGAAAGCGUGGGGAGCAAACAGGAUUAGAGACCCCAGUAGUC